rnacentral:rRNA from 1 species
CUAGCGGCAGGCUUAAUACAUGCAAGUCGUGGGGUAGCGCAGUGUAGCAAUACAUGGGCGACGACCGGCAAACGGGUGCGUAACACGUACGCAAUCUACCCAUUACAGGGGAAUAGCCCAGGGAAACUUGGAUUAAUACCCCAUAUUAUAUAGAGUUGGCAUCAGCUUUAUAUCAAAGCUUCGGCGGUAAUGGAUGAGCGUGCGGUUGAUUAGAUAGUUGGCGGGGUAACGGCCCACCAAGUCUACGAUCAAUAGCUGAUGUGAGAGCAUGAUCAGCCACACGGGCACUGAGACACGGGCCCGACUCCUACGGGAGGCAGCAGUAAGGAAUAUUGGGCAAUGGACGCAAGUCUGACCCAGCCAUGCCGCGUGAAGGAUGAAGGUCCUCUGGAUUGUAAACUUCUUUUAUCUGGGGCGAAAACAACUCUUUCUAGAGUUCUUGACAGUACCAGAGGAAUAAGCACCGGCUAACUCCGUGCCAGCAGCCGCGGUAAUACGGAGGGUGCGAGCGUUAUCCGGAUUCACUGGGUUUAAAGGGUGCGUAGGCGGGCUAGUAAGUCAGUGGUGAAAUCCCCGAGCUUAACUUGGGAACUGCCGUUGAUACUAUUAGUCUUGAAUAUCGUGGAGGUAAGCGGAAUAUGUCAUGUAGCGGUGAAAUGCUUAGAUAUGACAUAGAACACCAAUUGCGAAGGCAGCUUGCUACACGAUUAUUGACGCUGAGGCACGAAAGCGUGGGGAUCAAACAGGAUUAGAUACCCUGGUAGUCCACGCCCUAAACGAUGAUUACUCGACAUCAGCGAUA